rnacentral:rRNA from 1 species
UGAGCAUAUGAUGCAAUAUUCGCAGCAUCUUUAUAUCCUGCCGUGCAGCGGAAACUAUAUACGAGAAAUAACCAGUCAAACGCAGUGACACGGCAAUCAUUCGGCAUCAAACCGAGCAAAAGUCCUGUAGUGACGCGACAAGCGAGCUCAGAACAACCUGAGCUUCGGAGUUGACCGACGGGUCGGUCGGCUCCUCCGUGUCCCACGUCGCUGUCGCGUCCCGCCGGUGGCUUCCUCCUCUUCCCACGGGCCACGGCGACGCGCCACCGUCUCCCUCCCGUCCGCUAGGUCCAAAGUCUCCUCUACAUACAAGCUAGAAUAGCUUAAACCCGCGCGUCCUCAACCGCAAGGUCCUGGUGCGAGCUCCAAGAACCGAGGAGGAGCCAGCCGCGGCGGGGACGAUCGAUCGAUGGAGGCUGCGGUGGCGGUGGCGGUGGAGGACGAGAACAAUAGGAAGGUGUUCGUCGUGGUGCCGGCGGAGCGCAGGGCGGGGCGGUCGACGCUGUCGUGGGCUCUCGGCCAUCUCUGCGGCGGAGCCACAGCCACCACGGUCGUCGUCACGCACGUGCACGUCCCGCCGCAGAUGAUCCCCGUCAGUACGUGCUCGCCUUCAUCGCGCAUGCAUGUUUCCGGCCGGCAUCUGUAAGUGCAUCGUCGGUGACCUUUUUUGGUUAUCUAUCUCCAUCAGUGGGAGCCAAGUUCCAUGCCAGCAAGCUGAGCUCGGAGCAGGUGAGCUCCUUCAGACGGAUGGAGCGCGACAAGGCGGACAAGAUGCUGGACGACUACGUCCAUGAGUGCCGGAAAACCAAGGUGAGGUGUGAGAAGCUGGUGAUUGAGAAGGAGGAUGUCGCGUCCGGCCUCGUCGAGCUCAUUGGCUUGCGCGGGAUCACCGAGCUGGUGGUUUCGGCUGCCGCGGACCGGCAGUACUCCACAAAACUUGACAGGCCUACUUGCAGGACAGCAGCAGCGAUAAUGCAGAGAGCUGAUCCAUCGUGCAAGAUCUGGUUCGUCUGCAAGGAGCAGUUAAUCUGCACAAGGGAAGCGAAAGUAGAGAUUGCAUCAUCUGCUGUCACUGCACCGUUGCUCCCUAAUCCUGGCCAUGAAGUCCUUCGUUUGUCAACUCACCAGGAAGAGGAUGAUGAUGACAUUGAGGUUGAAUUGGGGUUCUAUGAUGAACUCACGGAGGCAUGCAGAGCAGCCGAGGACCUGAUGAACAGAGCUCUAAACGAAUCCCGCAGGCGCCACAAGGCAGACGAAGAAGUGGCCACAUCUCUCCUGAAAGCCAAAGAGCACGAGGAGCUGUACCUGGAGGAGGUGAAGAAGAGGGAGGAGCUCGAGGCAGCCCUGGCGAGAGCAGAGAAAGAAAUUUCAGAGCUACGACAGGCAAUCCAGCGGGACACGGUCGAGGAGGAAUCCGGGGAGGCGACGGCGACGAUGUCGGCCCCGGGACUGCAAAGCACGAGCAAGGAAGAACCGGAGGCGGUGCUCUGGCACUGCCAGUGCCAGUGUCAGAGGAAGCUGGCCGCCUCGUCGUCUCCGUCCUCGGUCAUCAUACCAUGGUCGCCUCGUGCCGACGAAGAUGGGUUCACCUGCGAAGCCGGCGUGGCCGGGUGCUGCUGGCUCGACGGGAUGCCGUCGCCCGAAGGCGUGGCCGUCGCCGGCGUCGCCCUACCGCUCGCGCGCCCCAGUUUUGCCCUCCGUGCCGCGGUCGAGGAAUACACGAGGCGGCAGCAGCAGCAGCAGCGGUGCCCGUUUCCUUGAAUGUAUUUUCGAUCACUCACGCUCACCUGCCAAUCGCGUGAUGCAAUCCAUCCAAGAGGAUGCCCGAUGUUGUGCUCGAGCCGACACCACCGCGAUAGGAUACGUCAUCUCGGAGAGUUAGCCUUGCGUAGGACUUUGGGGAUGAGCACUCCCUCCUCCUCGUGCUCGGGCCAUCAUGUUUGCGCCUGCUAGUGUAUGUAAUGUGAGGUAUCUAAUCUGUGCUAUGCUUCUGCUCCAUCUAUCGAUGAAAUGAUAUGCAAGCUUUGCAUAUUCGCGAAAAAAUAAAAUGGUCUGGUGCGUG